GGUAGAUUUCAUAUCUGAAUUUGGAGCAUGUGGUAAUAAAUUGAAUAGGUUAUACAUGUUGGACUUGGAAAUUGAAUUAGGAGAAAACCUGCGAUUUGGACCUGUCACUUGAUUAAACUGCCUGAUUUAGCUCUAGGAGCCGUUAUUAAAUUGUACUGUCGCAGUAUCCUCGAGACGAGUACUCCAGGUAGUUUAGAAUACAUUUACGCUCGUGCUGGUACGCCGAGUGGAUUUUUAUAGGGUCGUUCAGGCUGUUCCGGAUUGUAGGGUGCCGUUGAGGUUGACGGUGGACCCGUAUAGCCUUUUUGGCGUCUGAUUGUGUCGAGGGCACGUUACUUGUUUGUGGUUAGACCAGUUAGAGUCGAUUUCUUGACUUUGGCUUUUCAGAGCCUGUUUGAGCUCGACAGAGAUACGCUGCAUACUCGGUUGGGUAGCGCCCACGAGUGCCACUCCGGAGUCAGGCUUUGUGCUUUCGCGUUGGUGUCGCUCAUGCCAGUUGGACUUGCUCUCCACAGACCAGUUAGUAUGGAGGUAGCUGGACAGUCGCAACGGGGCAGGGAUGAGUGUAUUCACAGUCCCAGGGACGGGUAUGUUUACAGUCCCGAUUGGGUUGGGUCAGAUUUGACAUUUCCUACAGUUGGUCAGUGUAGAGCAUGAUAG
rnacentral:lncRNA from 1 species